rnacentral:rRNA from 1 species
GUGCCAGCAGCCGCGGUAAUACGUAGGGGUCGAGCGUUGUCCGGAGUUACUGGGCGUAAAGCGUGCGCAGGCGGCUUGUUGCGCCCGGCGUGAAAGCCCCCGGCUCAACCGGGGAGGGUCGUCGGGGACGGGCAAGCUUGAGGGUAUCAGGGGCUGGUGGAAUUCCCGGUGUAGUGGUGAAAUGCGUAGAGAUCGGGAGGAACACCCGUGGCGAAGGCGGCCAGCUGGGAUACACCUGACGCUGAGGCACGAAGGCGUGGGGAGCGAACGGGAUUAGAUACCCCUGUAGUCC